GCCCCCAUAGCACAGUGGUAGUGCAGCGCCCUCGUAAUGCGUUGACGGAAGUUCGAUCCCUCCUGGUGGCCCCA
rnacentral:tRNA from 1 species